GACGAACGCUGGCGGCGUGCCUAAUACAUGCAAGUAGAACGCUGAAGGAGGAGCUUGCUUCUCUGGAUGAGUUGCGAACGGGUGAGUAACGCGUAGGUAACCUGCCUGGUAGCGGGGGAUAACUAUUGGAAACGAUAGCUAAUACCGCAUAAGAGUAGAUGUUGCAUGACAUUUGCUUAAAAGGUGCAAUUGCAUCACUACCAGAUGGACCUGCGUUGUAUUAGCUAGUUGGUGGGGUAACGGCUCACCAAGGCGACGAUACAUAGCCGACCUGAGAGGGUGAUCGGCCACACUGGGACUGAGACACGGCCCAGACUCCUACGGGAGGCAGCAGUAGGGAAUCUUCGGCAAUGGACGGAAGUCUGACCGAGCAACGCCGCGUGAGUGAAGAAGGUUUUCGGAUCGUAAAGCUCUGUUGUAAGAGAAGAACGAGUGUGAGAGUGGAAAGUUCACACUGUGACGGUAUCUUACCAGAAAGGGACGGCUAACUACGUGCCAGCAGCCGCGGUAAUACGUAGGUGGCAAGCGUUAUCCGGAUUUAUUGGGCGUAAAGAGAGUGCAGGCGGUUUUCUAAGUCUGAUGUGAAAGCCUUCGGCUUAACCGGAGAAGUGCAUCGGGAAACUGGAUAACUUGAGUGCAGAAGAGGGUAGUGGGAACUCCAUGUGUAGCGGUGGAAUGCGUAGAUAUAUGGAAGAACACCACUGGCGAAGGCGGCUACCUGGUCUGCAACUGACGCUGAGACUCGAAAGCGUGGGUAGCGAACAGG
rnacentral:rRNA from 1 species